rnacentral:rRNA from 1 species
UGGGGAAUAUUGCACAAUGGGCGCAAGCCUGAUGCAGCAACGCCGCGUGAACGAUGAAGGUCUUCGGAUCGUAAAGUUCUGUUGCAGGGGAAGAUAAUGACGGUACCCUGUGAGGAAGCCCCGGCUAACUACGUGCCAGCAGCCGCGGUAAUACGUAGGGGGCUAGCGUUAUCCGGAUUUACUGGGCGUAAAGGGUGCGUAGGUGGUCUUUCAAGUCGGUGGUUAAAGGCUACGGCUCAACCGUAGUUAGCCUCCGAAACUGGAAGACUUGAGUGCAGGAGAGAAAAGUGGAAUUCCUAGUGUAGCGAUGAAAUGCGUAGAGAUUAGGAGGAACACCGGUGGCGAAAGCGGCUUUUUGGCCUGCAACUGACACUGAGGCGCGAAAGCGUGGGGAGCAAACAGG